rnacentral:tRNA from 1 species
GGCGUUAUAGUAAAAUAGGUAUUGCGGUAGUUUGCAAAAUUACUUGUAUAGGUUCGAGCCCUGUUAACGUCU